UACGUAGGGGGCAAGCGUUAUCCGGAAUUACUGGGUGUAAAGGGAGCGUAGACGGUAAUGUAAGUCUGGAGUGAAAGGCGGGGGCCCAACCCCCGGACUGCUUUGGAAACUAUGUUACUAGAGUGCAGGAGAGGUAAGCGGAAUUCCUAGUGUAGCGGUGAAAUGCGUAGAUAUCAGGAGGAACACCAGUGGCGAAGGCGGCUUACUGGACUGUAACUGACGUUGAGGCUCGAAAGCGUGGGGAGCAAACAGG
rnacentral:rRNA from 1 species